rnacentral:rRNA from 1 species
AUUGAACGCUGGCGGCAGGCCUAACACAUGCAAGUCGAACGGUAACAGAAAGCAGCUUGCUGCUUUGCUUACGAGUGGCGGACGGGUGAGUAAUGUCUGGGAAACUGCCUGAUGGAGGGGGAUAACUACUGGAAACGGUAGCUAAUCCCGCAUAACGUCGCAAGACCAAAGAUGGGGACCUUCGGGCCUCUUGCCAUCGGAUGUUCCCAGAUGGGAUUAGCUAGUAGGUGGGGUAACGGCUCACCUAGGCGACGAUCCCUAGCUGGUCUGAGAGGAUGUCCAGCCACACUGGAACUGAGACACGGUCCAGACUCCUACGGGAGGCAGCAGUGGGGAAUAUUGCACAAUGGGCGCAAGCCUGAUGCAGCCAUGCCGCGUGUAUGAAGAAGGCCUUCGGGUUGUAAAGUACUUUCAGCGGGGAAGAAGGGAGUAAAGUUAAUACCUGUGCUCAUUGACGUUACCCGCAGAAGAAGCACCGGCUAACUCCGUG